CAGCAUGUUUCCAAGGACCAUGGCUGGUUGUGGCCAUGGGAUCUCCAACUGUAGACUGGAGAAACAGUGCCUGAAGCUGCCACUCAGCUUUCCUAUACAU